CCUACGGGUGGCAGCAGUGAGGAAUAUUGGUCAAUGGACGAGAGUCUGAACCAGCCAGGUAGCGUGAAGGAUGACUGCCCUAUGGGUUGUAAACUUCUUUUAUAUGGGAAUAAAACGUUCCACGUGUGGGAUUUUGUAUGUACCAUAUGAAUAAGGAUCGGCUAACUCCGUGCCAGCAGCCGCGGUAAUACGGAGGAUCCGAGCGUUAUCCGGAUUUAUUGGGUUUAAAGGGAGCGUAGGUGGAUUGUUAAGUCAGUUGUGAAAGUUUGCGGCUCAACCGUAAAAUUGCAGGUGAAACUGGCAGUCUUGAGUACAGUAGAGGUGGGCGGAAUUCGUGGUGUAGCGGUGAAAUGCUUAGAUAUCACGAAGAACUCCGAUUGCGAAGGCAGUUCACUGGACUGCAACUGACACUGAGGCUCGAAAGUGUGGGUAUCAAACAGGAUUAGAUACCCUGGUAGUC
rnacentral:rRNA from 1 species